UCUUGGAAAUCGUGUGCAGUCGUCAAAUGUUAGGAAAAUUGUUAGAAAAAUUGUAUGCUCCCCUCUGUAACGUGAGACGUGAUACAUUAGACUAGCCUUUUGCAGUCUCUCCUAUCUUUAAUUUUUCUUUAUCUCCACAAAACCAUCGCCAUCUAGUGAUGUAGUGUGUAAUCGGUUUUUUUUUUUUUGUUGCAAUGUGUAAUCGGAUUCGAGUCGUAUCUUAACGCCAGAUCUUUUUCUCCGAGAUCAACUAUUGGAUUGAUUAUAUCUCAUACAGAUCACAAAAUAUUAUGAAUGAUCUUCUUUAUUUAUAUUAUG
rnacentral:lncRNA from 1 species